rnacentral:rRNA from 1 species
GCAGUCGAACGGUGAAGUUCCCUUCGGGGAGCGGAUCAGUGGCGAACGGGUGAGUAACACGUGAGCAAUCUGCCUCUCACUUUGGGAUAACCCCGGGAAACCGGGGCUAAUACCGAAUAUGAGGCCUGGCGGCAUCGCCGGGUCUGGAAAGAAUUUCGGUGAGAGAUGAGCUCGCGGCCUAUCAGCUUGUUGGUGAGGUAAUGGCUCACCAAGGCGACGACGGGUAGCCGGCCUGAGAGGGCGACCGGCCACACUGGGACUGAGACACGGCCCAGACUCCUACGGGAGGCAGCAGUGGGGAAUAUUGGGCAAUGGAGGAAACUCUGACCCAGCGACGCCGCGUGAGGGAUGAAGGCCUUCGGGUUGUAAACCUCUUUCAGUAGGGAAGAAGCGAAAGUGACGGUACCUACAGAAGAAGCACCGGCUAACUAUGUGCCAGCAGCCGCGGUAAUACAUAGGGUGCAAGCGUUGUCCGGAAUUAUUGGGCGUAAAGAGCUCGUAGGUGGUUCGAUACGUCGGAUGUGAAAAUCAGGGGCUCAACCCCUGACCUGCAUUCGAUACGGUCGAGCUGGAGUUUGGU